rnacentral:rRNA from 1 species
CCUACGGGUGGCAGCAGUGGGGAAUAUUGCACAAUGGGCGCAAGCCUGAUGCAGCCAUGCCGCGUGUGUGAAGAAGGCCUUCGGGUUGUAAAGCACUUUCAGCGGGGAGGAAGGCGGUGAGGUUAAUAACCUCAUCGAUUGACGUUACCCGCAGAAGAAGCACCGGCUAACUCCGUGCCAGCAGCCGCGGUAAUACGGAGGGUGCGAGCGUCAAUCGGAAUUACUGGGCGUAAAGCGCACGCAGGCGGUCUGUCAAGUCGGAUGUGAAAUCCCCGGGCUCAACCUGGGAACUGCAUUCGAAACUGGCAGGCUAGAGUCUUGUAGAGGGGGGUAGAAUUCCAGGUGUAGCGGUGAAAUGCGUAGAGAUCUGGAGGAAUACCGGUGGCGAAGGCGGCCCCCUGGACAAAGACUGACGCUCAGGUGCGAAAGCGUGGGGAGCAAACAGGAUUAGAUACCCUGGUAGUC